AGUAACACGUAAGCAACCUGCCUUUAAGACGAGAAUAACAAUUGGAAACAGUUGCUAAGGCUGGAUAGGAAAUAAAAAGGAAUCUUUUUAUUUUUAAAAGACCUUUUUCGGAAGGUAUGCUUAAAGAGGGGCUUGCGUCACAUUAGUUAGUUGGUAGGGUAAAGGCCUACCAAGACGAUGAUGUGUAGCUGGACUGAGAGGUUGAACAGCCACAUUGGGACUGAGACACGGCCCAAACUCCUACGGGAGGCAGCAGUAGGGAAUUUUCGGCAAUGGAGGAAACUCUGACCGAGCAACGCCGCGUGAACGACGAAGUACUUCGGUAUGUAAAGUUCUUUUAUUGAAGAAGAAACAAUAGUGGAAAAACUAUCUUGACGUUAUUCAAUGAAUAAGCCCCGGCUAACUAUGUGCCAGCAGCCGCGGUAAUACAUAGGGGGCGAGCGUUAUCCGGAAUUAUUGGGCGUAAAGGGUGCGUAGGCGGUUUAAUAAGUCUCUAGUUUAAUUUCAACGCUUAACGUUGUCCUGCUAGAGAAACUGUUUAACUAGAGUGAGAUAGAGGUAAGCGGAAUUCCAUGUGUAGCGGUAAAAUGUGUAAAUAUAUGGAGGAACACCAGAGGCGUAGGCGGCUUACUGGGUCUUUACUGACGCUGAUGCACGAAAGCGUGGGGAGCAAACAGGAUUAGAUACCCUGGUAGUCCACGCCGUAAACUAUGAGUACUAAGUGUCGGGGUUAAACUCGGUACUGAAGUUAACACAUUAAGUACUCCGCCUGAGUAGUACGUACGCAAGUAUGAAACUUAAAGGAAUUGACGGGAUCCCGCACAAGCGGUGGAUCAUGUUGUUUAAUUCGAAGAUACACGAAAAACCUUACCAGGUCUUGACAUACUCUGCAAAGCUAUAGAAAUAUAGUGGAGGUUAUCAGGGAUACAGGUGGUGCAUGGUUGUCGUCAGCUCGUGUCGUGAGAUGUUAGGUUAAGUUCUAAAACGAGCGCAACCCCUGUCGUUAAUUGCCAGCACGUUAUGGUGGGGACUUUAGCGAGACUGCCAAUGAAAAAUUGGAGGAAGGUGGGGAUUACGUCAAAUCAUCAUGCCCCUUAUGAUCUGGGCUACAAACGUGAUACAAUGGCUAUUACAAAGAGUAGCUGAAACGCGAGUUUUCGGCAAAUCUCAAAAAAAUAGUCUCAGUUCGGAUUGAAGUCUGCAACUCGACUUCAUGAAGUUGGAAUCGCUAGUAAUCGCGAAUCAGCAUGUCGCGGUGAAUACGUUCUCGGGGUUUGUACACACCGCCCGUCAAACCACGAAAGUGGACAAUACCCGAAAGCGACAGCCUAA
rnacentral:rRNA from 1 species